ACCUGGUUGAUCCUGCCAGGUCUGAUAUGCUUGUCUCAAAGACUAAGCCAUGCAUGCCUAAGUUCAUACCUUUACACGGUGAAACUGCGAAUGGCUCAGUAGAUCAGUUAUAGUUUAUUUGAUUGUACCGAAUGCUUCGUACAUACACAGGGAUAACUGUGGGAAACUAGAGCUAAUACAUGUAACCUGCUCUCACGGGGGAGCGUGCAUUUAUUCGCCUAGAAAACCAGCUCGCUAGCGUUUCAAGGCCAGAUGAGAGCAAUCUCAUCUGGUUGUACGACCGCGGCGUUCACGAUGAUUCUGAAUAACUGAUUGCUGAUCGUAUAAGGCCCUAGAGCCUACGACGUUUCAAUCAAAUUUCUGCCCUAUCAUACUUGUUGGUAGUGUAGCGGCCUACCAAGGUAGUAACGGGUAACGGGGAAUCAGGGUUCGAUUCCGGAGAGGGAGCAUUAGAAACGGCUACCACAUCCAAGGAUGGCAGCAGGCGCGUAAACUAUCCAAUCCAGACAAUGGGAGAUGGUGACGAGACAUAUUGGAACUCACUGGCAUUGCCGGUAGAGUUACCAGAAUGACCGUAAUUUAGACUAUUCGUGGACGAUCUACGGGAGGGCAAGUCUGGUGCCAGCAGCCGCGGUAAUACCAGCUCCCGUAGCAUAUAUAAUUGUUGUUGCGGUUAAAAAGCUCGUAGUUGUAUUACAGCGCGUUCAAGUGAUGGUUCGGCGGUAUAGCUACCUAAGGUAGUUGUGUGCUGCCCUAGCGUGCUGGGAGUGUGGUAUCAGCAAGUAUCUCUCUCGCCCGGGGGUCGAAGGGCACUGUUGCACAAAUAUUCGCCUUUCAUAUCCCUCUCUUCAUAGUGGGGAAUUGUGAUUUGAGAAUGCAGCAGUGCUGACCCCAGGUCUGUGGGAGAGAGAACCUUGAUGCAUUAAACGCACUCCCGGCCGCAACUAAAGGCAGCAUACGCAUAUCUUGCUGAAAUAUCACAAGUGCGCGCUUUCUCGUUAGACCCCGGUGAAAUAUCAAUUACCCUUCAGUGGGUACACCGGACGUUUGGCGAAUUGUGCCUUGAGUAAAAUAGAGUGCUCAAAGCAGGCGUGACUAAUAAUCAUUGCCCGURUACUCCAGCAUGGAACGAAUGUUCAAUUGCUUAAACCACCCUAUCGGCCUAGUUUGCUGGCUAAUUGCAAACAGUGUUUGGUGCUCCCUCGGGUUGCGCCAAACACUGGCUAGGUCAUAUCCACGGUUUGGUGUACCCGCUGCUACCACCGUGCUAUACUCAUCUCUGGGCAAUGUUGUGCUGCGGUGUCAACGGGUGCUGUGAUAAAACACACAUCCGUCCCUCACACAUCCCAGUCUCGGUGAGACUUAGCUGCGGAACGUCAGCGGGACCAAUGCACCCUCCGUGUAAGGGUAUCGGUUAACAGAGACGUUCGGGUACAUUAGUAUUUGGCCGCGAGAGGUGAAAUUUUCAGACCGGCCAAAGACUAACCAUAGCGCAGGCACUUGUAAUGAGCGCCUUCAUUAAUCAAGAACGAAAGUUGGAGGAUCGAAGACGAUUAGAUACCGUCGUAGUUCCAACUGUAAACUAUGCCAACCAGGGCUCAGGCCGAAUCGCAAUGUAAUAUUGUGGAUUCAGGUUGGGCCCCCGGGAAACCCGAAGUUUUUGGGUUCCGGGGGGAGUAUGGUUGCAAAGCUGAAACUUAAASGAAUUGACGGAAGGGCACCACCAGGAGUGGAGCCUGCUGCCUAAUUUGACUCAACACGGGGAAUCUCACCAGGUCCGGACAUCGGAAUGAUUGACAGACUGACAGAUCUUUCAUGAUUCGGUGGAUGGGUGGUGCAUGGCCGUUCUUAGUUGGUGGAGUGAUUUGUCAGGUUAAUUCCGGUAACGAACGAGACCGAUUCCUUUAUUUUGGCCGUAUGAAGUAUUUUUCGCGUGCCGGCCCCAGCAAUCAAGGCCUGACUUGCUGGACCCGAGGUGUCUCACGGUGGCCCCAAAAUUUGCCAAUGUACGCUGAGUGUGUGCGACUGUCCCACAGUGGCUCCAAAAGGCUGUCAUUGCCAUCGCGGCAGUGUUAAUAGCUGGCGGGGAUGCCAUAUAUGACUGUUGUGAUAACUAGCCAGAAUGCCCCUGUACUGCGGUCGCGAUGGCGAUGAUGGUUUGUCAUGGGCGGGAUGGCCUGUGCGUGCUCAGUUUAGUCGUUGGUGGUUUUGGGGCACUGCCGGGAGAUGUGUUGGAUCAUCUAGCUUGGCGGGUCUGCCGGGGCUGCAGUGAGUGUUCGUGCGCCUUCAUAGAGGGACCACCGGUAACAAACCGGGGGAAGUACGGCAAUAGCAGGUCAGUGAUGCCCUUAGAUGUUCUGGGCUGCACGCGCGCUACAAUGGUAACGACAAUGAGUUCCUGCAUCGAAAGGUGUGGGUAAUCUUGUCAAUCGUUGCCGUGCUGGGGAUUGAGCCUUGAAAUUAUUGCUCAUGAACCUGGAAUUCCUUGUAAGUACGAGUCACCAGCUCGUGCUGAAUACGUCUCUGCCCUUUGUACACACCGCCCGUCGCUACUACCGAUUGAAUGAUUUUGUGAGGACAUGGGAUCGAUCGACUCCAAUUGUGAGACGAUCGAGAGCCUGUCCAAAUUACAUCAGUCAGAGGAAGUAAAAGUCGUAACAAGGCUUCCGUAGGUGAACCAGCGGAAG
rnacentral:rRNA from 1 species